ACCCCCUGGACAGAGCCCCCAGAGACACUGGCUGUGAUCUCUGNAUCACAGCCAGUGUCUCUGGGGGCUCUGUCCAGGGGGU
rnacentral:pre_miRNA from 1 species